GUGUGUGUUUGUGUGUGCUCUCCCUCCUCACUGUGUCCUCUCACUCCUCACUCAAACUGUGUUUGCACCUGGAUGGGUUAAAAGCAGAAGACCGCUUUUGUUUACGGAUAAAACCAUACUUGACUUUACUCACUUCAAAAAAUGCUGGCAAUGAUACUCCGCAAAACCAAGCUGAUCCCAUAGAAUGAUGUCAGCAGGAAGAGAAGGAGCGUCAAGAUGAACUGUCUGUGAUUCGCUUGGCCUACACAGCUGUUUAUCCUGCCAUGGAAAGACACAAAGACACAAAAGUCAGCAAUCAUGUGUGCACGCAUGCAGACAUUUUCAUUAAAAUAACUGAAGUUUAAAAAAAGUUGAACUUGAAUGUGGUUUGAUUGAGGAUUCUGUGGUCUGUGGCAUGUUUAUGUUAUCUGUGCCUCUGUCUGUCUGUGUGUGUGUUGAAGCAGCAUGCAGACAGAUUGGCCUGGUGAGAGCUUGCUUUACUGUGCUGAAAGCUGCGUUCCUGUGGCCUUUGCACAUGUCUCACCAGCCUGCCCUGCUCCAGUGACGUCUUUGGGGAAUCAGCUUGAACAUAUGCGUGUGUCUGAUGGGGAAGUGUGUGCUUGCAUACAAUUGAGAAAGUAUCAGAAAGAGUCAGAUUACUGGCUUGAGCACCAGAGGAUUGACUUACUGUAUGAUUAGUUUGAGAAUUGUUCAACUUCUGUAGCAAUGCUAUGCAUGAAGCCAAAUAAGACACAUUUUAAGGCACAGAUACAACAAUAAAAUAAAUAUUACAAAUCAAAGGACAUGUCAUAAUUUCAAUUAUUUUACAACAAGCUCAGCCAUAAAGUUAUAAUUUUUUUUAAAUGGGACAGUGAUGGCAAAAUUACUAAUAUGUACAGUAACCCUAGACCACUGGUCUUAUGUGGCAUGGGUAUAUUUUUGGCAAUAAUCAAAAAUUUAUUGUAUGCAACAUAGGCUCAUUCUGAAAACGUAGACCCAUAUAUUUAUUUCAAG
rnacentral:lncRNA from 1 species